UCUCUCUCUUUCUCUCUUUCUCUCUUUCUCUCUUUCUCUCUUUCUCUCUUUCUUUCUUUCUUUCUUUCCUCACUGAUCUCAGCAGAUCUGCUUUGCCUGGACACUAACAAUUAAUUUUUUUCUCUUGUUUUAAAAUUAGAAAAAAAAAUUUAAAGCAAAGCCCCUCUACUUUGUUGAGGUAGAGACAGAACAGUCAGCACUAGAUUAUAAUGUUAGUUUCUCCUCACAGUGGGGCUCUGUAUAGCUUCUCUGGACUGAGCAGGUCUUGGUUGACCAGCUUUGUUUAGUCUUUUUUUCUAAUGAAUUCAUUUCUGAGGAUCAUAGCAAAGAAGGAAAUGGAAGUGAGGAGUGAGAAAACGCCUCCUGCAGCAGUCUUCUUCACUCAGGCCUAUGGGAAGAGUUAUAGAACCUUCAUGCAGGUCUUCUUCCCCCCAGAGCCUUCAUUUUUUCUUUGUGCCCUCUGCCCUCCAAAAGUCAACAGAAAAUUUUCAGCAGUACUUAAUUUGAUAAGAAAUGUGAUCCAGGGAGGUGGUCUCUCCCUGAACAUCUGGAAGGGCAGACUUCUUGCCCAAGGCAGAGCCUCAAAAUAAGAUAACAGUUUAUAGGAGCUCUAAAUGAGCUAUUUCACACAAAAGUACUUUGUUUACAUUCCAAACACGAGGUCUCCAUGUGUGAGUGACUACUUUCUCAUACACAUGAUCCUUUGUCUCAUCCUCAUAAUCACCGAGUAGCUCAAUUACUGUGUGCUAGGCUAGGCACUGGGAUAGAUGUUUUACAUUCAUUACUUGGUUUUGUUUUGUUUUCUCAUAUUCUAAUGGGAGCUAAAUACAUUCAUUAUUUUUUUAAAACACUAACAGCAAUGUACUGAUGUAGUAAAUAUUAUAAAUUUCCUUUCACAAAUAUCAGAUUAAAAAAACUCCAGGAGACAAAGUCAUUUUCCUCAGGUCACAUAGGCCGUUGGUCAUAUAGGCUAAGAACUGCACCAAAAGCAUUCAUUUCUCAACCCUGUCCACUCACCCCCUAAACUGCACUGCCUCUUUAACGUAUCGCAUAAAGCCCUAGUACUUUCAUGUCAUUAAUAUUAUUAUGGUUUAUUGAGACCUCAUUAUGCACCAGACACCUACUAUCCUAGAAAGGUAGAGACAUUAUUCGAAUCCUCACAACAACCCUACAAAAUAUUUGUUAUCACCAUUGUGCACAUUUUUUCUAUGCCCAAUAAGUAGCAGAAUUGAUUUUACAAAUCAGGGUAGGUCUGUCUUCAAAAACUGCUCUCUGUCUCUCAUACUGCCUAAUGGAAGCCUAUAGUAGGUUUAAUUGUGGCCUCUCUAAAAUAUAUCCUUGUCCUAACCUUCUGUGAAUAUGACCUUAUUUGGAAAAAAGGGUUUUUCAGGUGUAAUUAAAUUAAGCAUCUAAAUAUGAGACCAUUUUGAGUCAUCUGGUUGGGAUCUUAAUCCUAUCACAGAUGCUCUCAUAAGAGACAAAAGAGGAUGACAACAGAGAGAAGAUGAGAAGCUCACGUCAACGCAGAGGCAGAGAUAGAAGUGAUAGAGCCGCAAGCCACGAUGACCUGGAGCUACCAGAAGAUGGAAGAGGCAAGGAAAGAUUCUCCACUCUAGCUUUUAGGUGGAAUCUAGCCCUACCAACACUUGAUUUCAGACUUCCAGCCUCCAGAUCUGUGAGACAGUACAUUCUUGUUGUUUUAAGCCAUUCAUUUUGUGAUUUCUUACGGGAGUGACAGGAAAAUAAUACAUAGCCUAUUUCAUUUUGAAACCACAGACUAACUCAUACCAUUUCUUUAAAAACUCAAAAUGUACCCCACUUUAUUAUGGCCAUGAGUGCCUUUGGUGUCCUCCAGCUGGACUGAUUUUCUGACUUCCUUACUCACAGCCUUUGAGGACCUCUCUUCCACCGGAGCAUCAGCCCUGGACGUGCUUUUGUGCCUUUGCUGACCUUGGUCUGGACCUUCCUUCUGCUUGUGGAACCAACUUACUAUUCCCCAAUCUUACAUUGUAAUCUGCUGACCUCAUUGUCAAGUUUAGUCUGACUGAUACCUUUCCCUAAAAUCCUGGAGGGAGAGCCCUGGCUAGAAUUAAUUGCUCUGUUUCUGUGUGCCCAGAGAGGUCUACUUAUACCUACCUCUAUGUAUUACUUAUGUCUGUCUGUCCUGUAUUGUAGUUCAUCAAUUGCCUGUGAAAUCCUGGAGCCAGGGCAAGAAUUUUUAUCUCAGUACUUCUCAUGGAGCCUGCCACAGAAUAUCUGCUGAUGCCUCCUGACUUACCUCUGGAUACCCAUGGUGUCUGACAGCACUGCACCCACAGCUCUGCAUAAAUUCUCAACCCUUUGGAGGAACGACGGAAGCUGCAGUUGCCCCCACUCAAGGCUAAGUGCCUAGACUCACUCAUGGCGAAUGAAUAUCAAGCUCCAGGAAUAUCUUCCCAACCAAAUAUGCAAACUCAAGUCUUUUGCCUGGAUCCCAUUAGGUGGUAUUAAGGUUAAGCAUUAUAGGAACUCAAAGAAGAUGCCAAUAAAGGCUGAAAUGACCAGGAAAGAUUCCUUGGAGGAGGUGAAACUAGAGGGCACAAAAUAAUAUAAAUUGAAUGCCUACUGGAAGCCAGGAGAAUUCAAGUUCUCAGCAACUAAUACUUUAAGAAGUUAUGAAGAGUUGGAUUUUCCCUGAGGAGCUAAUUAUUUGCUGAGAUUACUAUAGUAACAGAUUUUACAAGGAGAUCAAGAUUCUGGUAAAUAGCAAUUAAAAAUAACUAUAGAUGUCAUUUAAAUGGAGCACUGAAACCAUAUGAGCCUGUUCAUUUUUUUAAAAGAAUUGCCAAAUAUAUAAAUGAUUAUAUUAAUUUUGAAGGAUUUUUUAAAUUAAAAAUUUUAUAAUUAUGAAGUAACAUUUGAAUUUUUUCUGAUUGCCUAGUUUCUUGGCCUACCGUUAUAAAGGCAAUAACAUUUUAUAAUUUUCAAGUUGGCAUAUAAAGUUCAUACUCUUUCAGAAGAUGUCUUUGUAAAGCACCAAGAGUUAUAUUAUAUGGUUCAUCCAUAAUGAUCAUCCAUAUGUUGACAUCGUUGUAAAAUACUACCUUUGGGAAUAUUCCAUGGCAACAUAUGCUUUCAUGAGGUACUUUCGUAUUUUCUAGAGUAUGUGUUCUGGUAGUGAACCUUCUGUUUCUUGUCCCUGUGACCAGAAUCUAUUCUCUCUUUUUCUGGUAAGAACCAGGUUUUUGUGCAAGAGGAAACUAUUCCUCCCUUCCAAUUAGUAUAUAUAAUUCGGAUGGCCUUGAGUCCACCUUCUUAUCACAGGGUCUGAAACCCAGGCUUGCCCAAAGAGAAUACUCACAUGCUUUGUCAGGGAUGGGUGUAUGACCCAAACCAUGUUAUGGUCAGUGAGCAUAAGUCCUGCCAUAUUUUGCUGGAGCUUCGGAAAGAGAUUCUUUCUCUUCGUUAGGGUUGGUAAGCUGGGAGAAUGUCUGUGUCUAUAACCAGACAUACCCAAGGAUGUUCUAGCUACUUGCACCACUAUUUUACCUCAUUUUGAGGUGUUAUUUUACCUUAUUUUGCUUACACUAGUUUGAAUUGUGAUGAUAUCAUUUGCCAAAAAGGUUGGAAAAUUCAGAUUGAAUUUUAGAUAGUCCACUGUACUCUGGGUUAAAAUAUGUGAUUUAAUAACAAGAUAUAGUUUUACUAAGAUGAAGCCCAUGUUUUUUGUGAAGGAAAUUAUUGAAGCAAUUAUCAGGAAAAUUCAAGGAAAAGUAUUCUUAAUUACAUAUUUUCCACCUAAUUAUUUGCAUUUUAAAAAUUUUUAGUAGAAUAGUAUAACUUUGACUAAUAUUAAUCUUGAAAGGAUGAAAGGAAAGGAGCAAAAGUAAAAUGUCAGGAGCACUAGAUUAAGAGUGAGAAAAUGAAUUCUGCUGGGUGGAUGUAAAAGGGAAUACUCAAAAAGCAUGGAGUUGAGCUCUACUGGGCAACUAGCUUAAGAUCCAGUGGUCUGGCUGGGCAGACAUUCCAAGCCUGCUUUGGUAGGCUUCUGUUUCCUCUUCGUUCCCCUCAAUAUGCUCUUGUAUCUUGGUGACAUCUUAAUAUUUUUUAAAUCAGUAGCAUAGUUUCCUACAGACCUUUCUGUUAUGAAACAGUCUUUAUAGUCUCCUUUUGUGAUUAGGAUUUAAUAAUUCAGUUACAGCUGGGAUUCUUCAUCUCCCCUCUCUUUGCUAUGUAGGAUUUAUGUAAUUUGGAGGUUAUCUGUAAUGAUGUCUUUGGGCAUUGUGAAAACCGUGUAAUGAGUCUCAGUGAUAAAUCUGACCUAGAGAAGUUAGAAUUACCUAGGAUUCUUCUGGGAAUAUUUUUCACUCCUAACUGGAUAGUGUGCUAUAGCAAACAAAGUCAAUCCUCUACAAGUCAAGAUGCUUAGAUCUUGAAAAGAAAUAUCAAAUCUCAUCUCUUUUGUGUCUCUUGAUAAUGGCCCCUACUCAGCUUUUUAUGGAUUGUGGUUUGCUAAGGUUAUAGUUGGAGGAAGAGCACAAACUGGGAGUGAAUUGGGAAACAUGUUACUGUGUGUGCGUGUGUGUAUAUAUAUAUUUGUUAACAUAUAUAUUUGUUAACAUAUGUAUAUACACAAAUACACACACACACAUUUAUAUAUGUCAAUCUCUUGUUUAUUAUGAAGGGUUGUGAUGUGACCUUGCUAACCCAUAUAUAAUAAUAUGAAGAAAGUCUCUUGAGUACCUGAAAACUAGAUGUAUCUCUUUUGUCUGUUUGUCUAUGCCCACUGACUACUUGGAGGUCAAAACUACUAAGCAGUGCCUGUUAUUAGUAACAGGUUCUAUUCCUGUUACUAAGUAGCCUUGACCUUGAGCAAGGCACUUUCCUUAUCUGGAUAUUUGCCACAGAUAUUUUAAGUUAUAAAUUUUUUAUUCUACGGGAAUCUUUUGUAGGUCAUUCUAAUCUUAACACCAGAAAUAUUUUGAGCUGAAAAGUGUAGUCAUAUUAUUUGAUAUUUGAGCUGAAAAGUGGGUAGUCAUAUUAUUUCAGUUUCUUUAGCAUUUCUUUCUUGCUUAAUUAUCUAAUGUUGUUCUCUGUAUCCUUGGGGGAGCACAGCACACUACAUUAACAUAAAUAUUCUAACUAGAGAGAAAACAGUGAUGAAUCCAUUAUUCUAUAUGCUUAUCAAGAAAGAUUACUCUGAGUCAGAGCAUCCUUCUGAGACAUUUUGUUUAUUUUUGAUACAGGUUGUCCUUCAUGUAACCUCCACCUUGAAUUCUCUCACCUUGGUGAUCUUCAAACUAGAACACUAACAGUGGUGGCUUCCCAUGGGGCCUUAACACAAUGAUUGCAUUGAUUCCUGUGGGGGAGAAGGACAGAGAGAAGCAGUGCUUGCUGUUUUAAAUGGAAGCAGGUCUGGAAGGGACGAUAUGCUGCAUACUACUUUCAGGUAAGAGAGGUACUCACUAUGCUCACCAGUGGCUUCCUUUAGCAGAACUGGUCUUACAUAAGAAGAGAGUAGGCAGCCACCAACAAAUAUGGUUUAAGGGGUUCAGGCAGGGCUCCUGUUUUUCAGUAUGUUUUCUCUUUACUCUUUGAUGUGUAAAAUUUCUUUGAGGUCAGAACAUUCCUCUGAAAUUAAAAAAAAAAAAGAAAAAAACCUUUGUGAGGGUAUAAUAAAUAGAACUGUGAGUUGGGAGUCAGGAAACAGAAUUCUUUCUUCUGUUUUGUAAGUACAUCACUGGCUCUGUGAACUCAGCUAAGUCCCUUAACCUUUCUGUGACUUGGUCUCCACAUCUGUAAAAUGACUGAGUUCAGAAAUGGUUUCUGUCAUCCUUUGCAGCUCAAAAAUCUGGACUAUUGAUGGAAAUUCAUGCUAAUUCAUAAAUGACAGGUGUCAUAUUGUUUCUUAGAAUUCAUUGGAUGGGAAGAGAGAAGUAGACAAAAAGGAAGAUAAGUAUCAAGGCUAGGAGAAUCUGAAAGUGGCCUGGGGACACAGAAAAGAUGAAUAUGCUUCUUUACAAUUUUACCUCUCAUGUGUAUUACCACUGCAUCUGCAGCAUUGCAUAAAAUGACAUGAAAUACAGGAGGAGGCUUGCAGUAGUCUAAUAGCAAUAGUUUAAUACUUUCAUUGAAAGACAAACUUCAAUUCUGAUCCUGUUUCUGCCACUUAUUAGUGACUACAGGAAAUGACUUAAUAGUUUUGAGCCUCAAUUUAUACAUCUGUAGAAUGGGGAAGGAAGGAAGGAUUUAUAAGGAUUUAUAAGCUGGUUUUUGCCCUCUGGAUGACGUUGUGUCUCUCUAGUACAGAAGAUCAUGAGCUCUGCUCUCUGCAGGAUAUUAACUUGAGAGAUAGAGGGAAUCAUCAGACAUGCUAAUACUUUGGCAGUUUCACCAACAGUUAAGCUACAUUAGUACUACUCAGUGCUGCAUCAUUUCAAAGAUAGCAUGCAGUGCUAAUAUCUUUCGAAUCAGCAACAUUUUCCAAAAGUAGUGAUGCAUCAUAGAUCUUAUCAAUAUCACUGAAAAUGGACUCAUAUCUAGGUAUAUGAAAAGUUAAAGCUUAAUUAUGGAUAAUUGCUGUGCAGUAAACAUAGUCUGUGUUCAUGUAGCAAACAGUUUCAAAUAACUGAAACCAUUAUUUUGAAGAGAAUAGUCUGAAGUGAAAUCCACAUUUAUUAUUAAUGUUCCUGAUGUUGUCAGAAAAGCUCAAUAUUUUCUUGUAUUCUAAUUGGUUUGUUAAGUGUAAAGCUUCAACCAUAGAGAAGAAAACAUCUCAGAAUAUAUCUUUAGUUGACUAUGAAAAUUCAUCAUUCCAUAAUGUAUUUUUUACACCUUAGAGAGGACUUGAUGAUUAAAAACUCCUUUUAUAAUUAUUGAUAUUUUAAUUUAAAAGCUCUUUAGAGCCUUUAAUACUUCUUUAGAAAUCAUGAAUCCCAAUUCUUCCAGUGAUAUGUUACCUUAACUGACUACCUCUAAACCAAGAGAAGUUGCAUUUCAUCUUAACUCUGAGGAUGACAGAUUUUGAAAACCUUAAAACUUCUUGAGCAGUUUGGAUCUAAUAUGUGGACCUCUUAAGUGGAAAAUGCUGUGACUUUUCAGCUCCAGCUAUUAUAGAAUCAUCAGAAUUUAUUCCUCCUUUUAUUUCUGCACAGUAGGAAUAGUAUUCAAAUUUCCUGCAGCUCAUUGCUGCAAGAUGAGGCAGAUUACAUAUACCUACUAUAAAAAGUUUGUGUGGGAAAAUAUGCAAGUUUCCAGUAAUUUUCAUUACCCAGUUUAUCCAUUCAUAAAUACCUUCCAGUGAAACAAUGCAAUAUAUACUUUGUAAGUAUUACAUGUUUCCUUAUUAGAAUUGAAAAGGAGAACCAUAAAAUAUAACUGGCCACCUCCUUCUUGGUCAUUAUAGUGCAUUUACUGGUGAUACUACCAAGAAACAUACAUUAAGCUCCCAUCCAAUAGAUGUUUUUCUUUAUGAGAAGAACAAUGUAUACAUCUUCCCUUUCUUUGUAACCUCUAAUGCCAUGUACCUGUGUGAAGAGGGGAAAUCUAGACUCAUUCAGGAGCUCACUGAUGAGCACAACAAGGACCCAACUUGCAGCAUCCCUACAACAUCAUUUUAUUGAGACAAUUGUUAUUUAUCAGCAGAAGCAGCAGUGGGCUGUUUGUUUCAUAAGAAAACUCCCCAGCUCUUAUUUAAUUACCUUGGAGGACCUUAUUCUCAGAAACAACACUAUAAUGAGUGUACCAUCAGACACCAGAUUUAUUUCCUGAAACAGAGGGGAUUUGAAAUGUACAGUAAACAGAGAGUUCCUGUGAGCAGAGAAUCCAAACAGUGGAGAGAGCUUACUAAUGUAGGGCAUGGUAUUUGACCUCUUUUAAUUGGUUAAAAUUUCAAAAUUGGCUACAGUUUCAAAAGCAAGGCUGUGAGGAAGAAGAAACAGCAUGGGUGGUGAUGGAAGAAGUGACUGGAUCUCUAGAAACAACUUGAACUCUUUCUGCUCUGCAGCUUGUUGAAUCCUUUGAAGAUUUUUCUGCAUUGUGGCUAGGUUGCUAUGCUGAUUAUGAGACAGAUCCUGGUUAUGAGCACAUCACAGGGUGACGGUCUUGGUACAUGAUUGCAUUAUUGUUUUCAAGUAUUCACUGUGUAUCAUGAAGUUGUUAUCAGGUAAGUCUUACCUAGAUAGACAUCCUUGCUUUGACAAAAUAAGUUCUUAAGAGAUUCGUUUGUUUUAUUUUGGCUGAUGUGAAAUAAUCAGAAUGACAGAAAGAAUGAGAAAGAAAAGAAUCAGACAGGAAGAAUGAGAAUCACUGUAUAUGUGAUAUUCACAAAUCUUGGCCUCUUUUUCCCGAAGGUAGCCAGAUCUUUUGUGUUCUUUGUGUCAAGGGCAUUUAUCAAACUUAAAGUAGAAGCUGCUUGAAAAUAAAUUUUCUAAUUGCCUUUUGUGACUGUUAUUGAGAAAGGGGAGGCAGAAGAGGGAGAGAGAUGAGAAAUUCCCUAAAGUAGAAGUAGGGCAGAGAAUGACAUGAUAGGUGCCAAGUGUAUCAGAGACCAGCACCAUAAAGCUUGGCAGCAUGCCAGGUAGCGGGCUCUGGAAAGAGAAUGGUGGUGUGUCCAGACUGGGAUCCCUAGGUAAGCUGGUCAAAGGUGAUCCUUUUUUCUAGGCUCACUUCCCUAGGGUCAGCCCCCUGGCUUGGCCUGGUUUUUACACUGGAGUCUAAAGACAUCUCCAGAGCAUGAUGAAGGAAGGGUGGAAAUACUCCUAAGGGUUGAAAUUCAACCUCCUAUCAACUUGGCAGAACAGGGGCUUGUAUUAGAUUUUCAGGGCUGCCAAAACAAAGUACCACAAACUAGGUGGUUUAAACAACAGAAAUUUGUUCUUCCGUAGUUCUGGAGGCCAGAAGAUAAAGGUAUCAAUAGGGUUGCUUACUUCUGAAGGCUGUGGGGAAGAACUUGUUCUAUGCCUCUUCCCUAGUUUUUGGUGAUUGGUUGUUAAUCUUUGAUAAUUUUUGGCUUGUAAGCCUAUCACCCUGAUUUCAGUCCUUGGCUUAAUCAACUAUGUACAUAGUGAUGCCACUUGCUGAGAUGGGGAAGAUUGUGGGAGGGACAGAUCUACACAGGAAAUAUCAACAAUCAUAUUUUGGCCAAGUUCAGACUGAAGUGCCUAUAGGCACAUAGAUAAGGAUGUCAAGCAGUUAGCUGAACAGAUAAGUUUUGGGCUGAAUUAAGAGGUCAGGGCUAGAGAGUCCUUGUUGUACAUAUUAUAUUUAAAACAGAGGUCUAGAUGAGGAUGAAUGUAGAGCUUGAAGAAUGUAGGCACAGAAAAGAAGACUAAAGGAAAGCUUGGUAUAGUCACACUUCAAUGACUGAAACAGGAGAGAGAACUAGCGAAAGUGAUUGAGAAGUAAUGGUCAGUGAGAUGGAAGGCAAAUCGUGAGAAAUCAAGAGAAGGGAAUAUUUUAAGAAGGAGGGAGUGGACAACAAUGAUAAAUACUGCUGAGAGGUCAAAAGAGAUGAAGAGAGAGAUGAUCAUUUGAGUUGGAAAUAUGGAAGACACCCUGUUGAGACUGGUUUCAGUGGAAAGGGAAGGAGUAGUAUGGUGGGAAAGAAGCCUGGUUUUAGAGGAUUGAGGGAGAAUAGAAGGAGAAGAAGUAGAGACAGCAGCUUAGAGAGCAGAGAAACAUGGAUAUAUAGAGCUAGAUGGGAUUAUACUUCAGUGACAAAAAUCAACUAAAAGCUUCAAACAAAAUUGGUUUGUUUCUUGAUCACAUUCCAUGACAGUAGCUAGAGGUCAGCUAUGCCCUGUACCAUGUGUCUUAUGUCUGGACACAAGCUGACAGAGUUCCCCCAGUCUGGGGCACAUCCUUUUGAUAGAAGAGAGAAGAAGCAAGAGACAGAACCAUGCCAUGCAAUGUCUCAAAUCUUCAGCUUGAAUUUGCCAUACUACACAUUUACACACAUUCCAUUGACCAAAUCAAGUUACAGGCCAAGCCCAAUGUCAAUGGGUAGAGAAGUACACUCCUUCUGUAAGGCACUUCACUGCCUAUGGUAAUGUGCAGAAAUGAAGAAAUAGUGAAUACUUGAAGACAAUAAUGCAAUCUAUCCCCUCACCUCUGCAACCACCACAUACACACACCUUUCUUUUUUUUUUUUGGUGGGUGAUAUAGACCAUAUUUGCGUGCUGUUGGAAAUAAUGCAGUAGAUCGACUAAUUGAAGAAAAAAUCCUGUGAGGAGGUGAGGUUGCUUUCUUAGGGGUAAGAAUAUUAUAUUAUUAACAGGAAGAAAGGUAUAGAGAGAGUACAGAAACUGAAAGGUUGGUAUGCUUGCCAUGUUUUUUAUAUGAUGACUUCUUGAUUCUAAAUUUUGGUUCUGUUUUUGCUUCCGAAUAAUGUGUAAGAUCAAGGUACUUGGGGAGUAUGUUUUCUGAAAUUGGAAUGUUUAGACAUCUUUUGUUGCCUGUUGCCUUCAACAAAACAAUUUGAUGGAUCUGGAAUUAUUUUUUUAAUCUCCAAAUGUCUAGCCAUGUUGCUACAUUGUCGUAUAGUAGUAUUUCGGUUAUAGAGGUGUUUAAUACCAUGAUCUCGUUAUCUCUAGGACAUGCCCCCCACGGGUUAUAGCAGCUCAAUGCCUACUUAUUGAACGAGUGCAUGCAUGAACUGCAUGCAUUACAUUUUUUCAGACAACUCUUUAAUGGCUCAUUCUUUAAUAUUUUUAAUUAGAUCAUCUUUUUUAGCUCUGGCAGAGUAAAAUGCAAUUCUCUUUGAUGAAUACUAAGUAUGAAAGGAAAAAAUAAGUGUUAUAAGCAUGUAUUUUGAGAAUGAAGUCUUGUAAAAUGUAGAUAGAUCAGGUACAAUUAAAAACUAACAUGUAGGUUGUAGUCUCCUUUCUUGCCUGAGAGAGUAUGAAGAAAAUCAUGUGUCUAUUAAGGUGGUAAAGCAGCAAGGCUUUCGGGGUGAAAACUAGAUCUUCCUUACAGUCUGUAUAUUAAGAUCAUCAAUCUUAGUAAUAACUUCUACUAGAUGAACAAAUAUAAGAGAUUUCACCUACCUAGAGUUAAGAAAUGAACUCACUUCCUUCUCAUAAAAUAUCCUUUGCUUCAUAGCAGUGGUAAAACGUGGUAACUCAAGUAAUUAUCAUUGAAGAAUGAGAACACCUACUUAAAGCAUCCUUGCAUAGAUGGCUUCCUUGCCCUCUUCACUGAGCAAAGCCGUUGGGAUUGGAGAGAUGGGUGUGAAUGCUCAAGUGUGUGGCACUUCAAUAUGCCAUGGCAUUUUUCAGUAAGUUUUGAGCUAUUGAGUUGCUACUUGUCUUCUUUGAAAACCAUGAUUCUUAAUUAUAAGAAACCCAUUUUGACAAAGAUUGAGAGCAGCAGAGACUUAAGUGGAAAGUUAACUGUCAGAAUAUCAUCUGCCCCGGCCCCCCCACCCCCAUUUUUCUGUGUUCUGGAGAGUAUUUGGGAACAAAGUUCCAAUUUCAUAGCUAUUGCUCUUUAGUAUAUUAAUUGGCAGUGAUAGGAGGGGGAAGUUCAUGACAUUUCUGCCCAAUAACUUUUAAAUUAUUCCUAAAACAAAAAAAUCACUUGGUUCAUUUUUGAAAUUUAGGUGUUGUCUAACCAAUAGGAAGCUCAGGGACCUCUGGGAGACAGCAAGCCUUCUUCUGUAGUUUGGCCGUAGAGAGACCCAGGUUUGAAAAAUGAUUCUGUCACCUACUACUUGACUGAAAUUGGGAACGAUUUUUGUUUUCUUUUUGGAGGCUGGUUUUACUCAUGUAUAAAUAUGAAUAUUAGUGUUUGUCUUAUUAACUCAUCUAUUUACUCUUUUAAUUAUCACUGAGUAGUUACCAUAUACUCAUCCCUGGUUUGUGGAUACUAAAAAUGCAAAUAACAAUAGCUAACAUUUGAUGAGUAUUAACAAAAUAUAAGCCACUCUGAAUACAUCUCUUUUAUUGUUCCCAUCAGAUUUGUGAGAAAAAUGGAUUACCAUUAUGUUCAUUUUACAGAUAAGAAAGCUGCACUUAGAGUUCAAGUACCUUGUCCAAGUUACAUAAAUUAGGAAGCAUGGAGCCGAAAUUCAAACCAAGACAGUCUUCAGUUGAGAGUUUAUUUUCUUAACCACUGUGUUAUACUGCAAAGGUGUAAUGAUACACUCUCUGCUUGCUAGUAUGGACACAGACAAGAAAGUAAGCAAUUAUAAUAAAUGGAUGUGCGAAGUAUCCAGGCAUUGUAGAGGAAAAAGCAUUUACUUCCUUAGAAUCAACUUUAUUUUGAGAUCCAAGAUCCUGAUGAAUCUACAGAAGUCUUAUCUGAUGUGUUGGAUUUUGUGCUGAUAUCAAAGCCGUUGGCAUCAGAAACACGCAUACAUACUAUAAUUUUGGAAAUGUCAAUAUUUAACAUCAGUCACUCUCUAUAAAAAUUCAUGAUGUUAUAGUGAUAGAGUACCAGAAAUCUUACCAAAUUUCUGCUACUAGGAAAUACUUAGCACAGGCCGCCAUUUACAUUAAGAAGAUGAUUAGACUAUUUUAAAGAUUCUGAUUUUGUUAAUGACUGAUGCUAUUAAGAAUACAAUUCACAGAAAAUAUGCUAAAAAUAUUUUCAUUAAUCAAGUGCAUAUUUUAAUAAAAACCAAAACAUAAUUUUUAUAAGCACAUUAUAGGAGGAUGUGAUGUGUGAACUGUACUAUAAAGGCACCGAUAAAUCAGAAUGAAACAAAUGAAAAUAAUUAAUUUUUAAUGACUUGAAGUUUGGGUCAGAAAAAAAGUGAAAUUAGAACGUUUUGAAUUAGUAGCAGACCGCGAGCUUGAAGACCUCGAUAACAAUCCACCCUUUGUAUGUACGGUGUGCUAUUAACUUGAAAGCAAAAAUGGCCUCUGUAAAACAUUGCCUUUUGUUAAUUAGACAACUUUGAGCCUUUGAACAUGAAUCAUUAACUACUGAUAUUGCCCUAAGGCCAAAUAUUUGUGAUCUCCUGGGGCUCUGAGAGAGAAAGAAGAAAAAAUGAUGAGGAAAGGAAAGUGCUUAUUUCUCAGUUUUAGAUUAUCCAAUUAUUUCAAGUAGAGAAAUAUCAUUAAUAAGGUCACUUAAAAUAGAGUAAGUGGGAAAAUAGGAAGACAGCAUCCCUGUUUCAGGCAUGGAAUUUUAUGACAAUUACAAAAGCCUAGCAAUCUAUCAUUUUAAUGGUGGCAGGAGAAUAGUGGGUUGCAAGCUCCUCUGUGUGAGGAAGAUGUGACAUGUACCAGUAACAUCUCUAUUACUACAAAGUAGGGGACCCAGCUUUCAAGCAAAGCCUAGCUACUAUUAUUAAGGACUUCUGUGAUGUUCUUGGCCAUGUGAGACUGUAGAUUGAAAGGGAAAUUUCAUUAUAUCUUUAAACAUUUAAAUACUUGGCUUCAUAGUUCACUGAUCUUGAGCAGCCUGACUCUCAUUUUGAUUCAGGUUUCCUUUGUUCCUUGGUUAUUUAUUGAUGGUGCCUUUCUCAUUUAUUGUGUCACAUUGAGAGGCGCUCCCUCCCUAAAUGUAGAAUUACUCUGGUGUGCUGAUUUUGCCAGUGAUGUGACAGAUUUCCUGGGAUCAUUUGUAGGAUUAUCUCUUUGAAGCUCUGGUGUCAGGAUCCACUGCACACGUGGUGAGGAGAGUAUUCUUUAUCUGCAAAACUACAGAUUACUAGGAAGAGCCUGCUUUACUCUGCUCUUACAGCUCUUUUGUGGCCUCUGUUCCUAGGAAGCAAAAGAAGUAGAGGUGAUAGGUAAGGACCAAAGUGUUCUCCACUCUGUUCACAUCAAGAGACUUCAGCACCCAGAGACUAUAAGCAGCAGCUGAGGAGAAAUGGAGUGAAGAGGUAGUGUCAAGGAGAAAAUGGCUCUGAAAUACUUCACAAUAUAGAAAGUGCUGUAUUUAAGGAUUGUAGGUAUUAGUAUUAUUUUUAUUUCUUGCUUUGACAAUUUAAAUUUCCUGUGCUUCCUCUGAAAUGAAGCAAGGGACCAGGCUGUAUUUUUCCUUCUAACACUUUUCUCUUCCCUGCCACUUUCUUUCCUCUUUGGUACUUUUCAUGCUAUGCCCCUUACCCCUCCUCUAAUAAUGAGGUCCAGUAAGCGGCGAAUAGAAGGUCUGGGCAGAUCCACUCCCUGUCUCUGUUCCAUGACCCCUGCCCCUUCAAACCAUGAGAAAACUAAUGGUGAUCUUGUCGACUAUUCCUAUGUUCAGAACCUUCCACAUGAGUCACAGCUAGUUUCUACUCCAGCAUCCCAGCCCUGUAAGUGCCUCUCCCAAUGUCCUCUCCCUCAUAUCUAGCUUUUUCUGUGGCCUAUUCUUUGUCUCCAUUGGCAGGUACUUUCUUUUUUUUCUUUUUGGUCUCUUUAUGUGCUCAAUUUUAAUAAAAAUCAUGGCCCUUUUGCACUGUUAGAGGCAUUUUGUCAUAAUCUUCAGGCAAUAAAAGAGAGAAACAUUUCAAAUGAAAGCAACAGGGACUGUGCCCAGAUCAUCUUUGUUGGAUACAUGCCAGUUUGCACAGCUAAUGGUCUUCUUUGUGCAUGGGUGGUUAUUAGAUGUUUAAUGACCAUUGCUCUGUUAGAACUCUAGAUGGUCUUAGCUCUGGGUGAACAGUUUAAAAUCUGGCUGCGUUAGCAAAUACCUCAUUGUAAGAAGACAUAUUUCUUUCUAUUUCUAAGUGAGGACACAAGGAAGAUUUAGUUUUUUAUUAUUGUGGGGGAUGAGAUUCGGUGGGACAGUGGAUCUGUUCCAUCAAUAAUUCUUAUUGAAAGACUGCUAGGUAAGGAUAUCAUAAGCACCUGGGUAUUUAGAAUGAAGGGUGAUAUAAAUAGAAAUAAAUCUUGUUUAUAAUUUUAUUUGUGGAGGAAACACAUAAUUUCUUGAUCAGAGAUUUUGGGAUUCUGUUUCCUUCUGUUUCCCUGGACCUAGGAAAGGACUUGGUCCAUAAUGGAUACUCAAUAAGUGUCCUAGCCAACUACAUAGUGAAUGAAUGAAUGCAAAAUGUAAACACAGGAAGAGAAAUACAUGGCAAGCAGAAGGUAAGUACUCAGACACUGCUAAUGAAACCAUCAGUCAAGGAAAGCCAGCAGUUCAGUGGCAGUAUCUCUGGUAGAAAAGGUGAAUAUACAUGGAAAGCAAGUAGUUUUCUUUUUGUGACCUCUCUGUGCCUCCGUUUCUUCAUCUGUAAAAAUAAACAGUCUGAAUAAGAUCAAUAUUUUUAAAACUUUAGCUUUGUGCAUGAUAAUCACCUUGUUGAAGAGUAAGUUUGGGAAUCUACUCCCAGAUAAUCUGAUCUGGUGGUUCUGGGGUAGAGGUUAGGAGUCUACGUUUUUCAAAAGCCAUGUUCAGUUACCUCCAUGGAUUGAUGGCCAGUCUUUGAGUUGGCUGACCUUGGGUCAAGCGUACAGAGUUCUGGCUGGAGUGAAGCUAUUCAAGUAUACAGAAGAUGGCCUUCCCAACUCAAAGAACUGCUUUUCUCAAAACAGGCUGUGAGUGUAGCAAGCACUAUGACUGACCUACCCACUUCAGUAUUAACCAACUUGGCUCUCACAUGCUCACGUGGUAGAAAUGGCCUUGCUCAAAGCACCAAGAUUCUUCUGAUGGAGCUGAAGUCACAAUGGGUUUGGCUGCUUCCUGUUCUGGUGAGGCACUUCUGCCUUCCAAAUGCCAUGCUUUAUGCUAACAAAACUGACAAGACUCUGUGUCAGCCUUUGCUGAUGUUAUUGCUGAAAAACUGGUACCUGUUUUUACUUCAUCUUGUACCUUCCUAAGUUCUUUUCAGUUGAGUUGAUGGACUGUGGCACUCCUGACUUGAGCUCAAGUACAUAUGCCUUAAGUAAAAUGGCAUUUAUUUUCCUUAUCUUUCACUUUUAAUGUAAUUUUUACAGGAAUACACUUUGUAGUUUUAUAGCUAGGAAAAAAGUGAAUGAGCCCAGGUAGUCUUGUUAAAUACCUCUCUUCUCUGGGUGUAAUGGAAUUUUUAAAAAAAAUUCUGAUAAAUCUCUCCAAUCAGCUUGACAUUCCUCCCAUCUCUUCUUUAGGUGACUCUUAUUUCCUGGUUGGUGAAGAAUAUCUAUGGCAUUCCAUAAGUGCUUCUGUCUUAACAGGGUCUUGUGAAACAUUUAUUAUUGUUCAUUGGCUCCAGUUGCAAAUAUUGUAGUAAGAGUUCAUUUCCAUGAUAUGUUUUGGGAACUGGGGUGAUGCUGACAAAAGAGCACAGUGCCUGGCACAUAGUAGAUACCCAUAAAUGCUGUUGGAUGAACAGAUUAAUGCCUAAGUUGGGGAUGUCAAGUCCUGACUCUGCUAUUUAUGAGUUCUGCCUUCUGAGGCAACUCAUUCAGCCUUUCUGAACUUCAGUUUCCUAAUCCAUAAAUGAGUUCAGAUUAGGUGGCCUCUUUCUGCUAAAAAAAAAAAAAAAAAA